rnacentral:rRNA from 1 species
AGUGAACGCUGGCGGUAGGCCUAACACAUGCAAGUCGAACGGCAGCACAGUAAGAGCUUGCUCUUACGGGUGGCGAGUGGCGGACGGGUGAGGAAUACAUCGGAAUCUACUUUUUCGUGGGGGAUAACGUAGGGAAACUUACGCUAAUACCGCAUACGACCUACGGGUGAAAGCAGGGGAUUUUCGGACCUUGCGCGUUUGAUUGAGCAGAUGUCGGAUUAGCUAGUUGGCGGGGUAAAGCCCCACCAAGGCGACGAUCCGUAGCUGGUCUGAGAGGAUGAUCAGCCACACUGGAACUGAGACACGGUCCAGACUCCUACGGGAGGCAGCAGUGGGGAAUAUUGGACAAUGGGCGCAAGCCUGAUCCAGCCAUACCGCGUGGGUGAAGAAGGCCUUCGGGUUGUAAAGCCCUUUUGUUGGGAAAGAAAAGCAGCAGGUUAAUACCCCGCUGUUCUGACGGUACCCAAAGAAUAAGCACCGGCUAACUUCGUG